ACCCGGGAACCACGGAAUUGAUCAUGACCAGUGUGAACUCCCCCGCCUGCCUUCUCGCCCGGAACCAGUUCUACCGCAACGUUGAAAGCUCAGCAAAAAUGACACCAGUGUAUGGUCUUUCUGAGUGCUUAAAGCGACCUAAACAAAGGCAAGUGACUGUCUGGGUGACUGCCUCCACACAUCCAGGGUUCCCGGGGCAGACGAGAGAAUGGAUGUUCAGUGUGGUGUUGCAGACCCCGUCACCCCGCUCUCCCUCCUCUGGGCGGAACAGUCCGGCCAGCCGGGCGGUGAAGUAGGGUGGCCAGUGGCACGGGCCCCGAAGCCUGAGGAGCAGACCUCAGCGGCAGGGGAACAUUCCUCCGCCUGGCUCCCCCUCCUCUGCGCAGCUGUGUGGACACGAGCCAGAGCCAGCCCUGGACACUCCAGCCUGCAAGAGCCUAAGAGUGUGAGAGGGUCUUAGUGUGUCUGUUACAGUAUGUGUUAGUGUGUGUGUGUCUCUCUCUGUGUGUGUGUGUGUGUGUGUGUGUGUGUGUGUGUGUGUGUGUGUGUGUGUGUGUGUGUGUGUGUGUGUGUGUGUGUUUAGUGGCGUGCUAUGAUGUUCAGUAUCAGCACUGCACCUUGCUUCUCUUCGUGUUCUCCACGGCAGAACCUCCUACCCCCUCAGCUGUGUGUUUUGUACAGGGAUGAAUGAAAAUCCCUUUUUGUAAUUCAUCUAAAGAUAACCCCUGCAGCCAGUGUGCAAUAAUCACUGUUGCAUAAGACAUUCCCACCCCCACCCUUUCCAAUCCCCAUUGCACUGCUUCAAUCCCCCCCCCCAUACUGAGACCCCUUGGACAAAUCCUAGAAAGCUCCCUCUCCCUGUCCCCUCCCUGCCAGCAUCCAAUCCGAGUGCUCGACUGGUCCUCCUAAGAGUGGUGCCCCAACCCCACCCCAUCCCACCUCUUUGAUGAGAACCUGUUGCUAGGCUCAGAGGAAGAGAGGCAAACAUGAAAGAACAGAGUCAGCAAAAAGGCUUUUCCAUCCAUUUCCCAUCCAUCCAGCCAGCCACUGGUGACUUUGCCCAGUGACCUGGAAAAAGUGCUAGCGGGGUUGGAAAAUGCUUCACCCAUCUCACGCCCAGGACAUGAAUGAUAGCCUACCUUCAUUUAUGCUUGGAGGCAAAUGACAGUGUGUGAGCAGUUUGUGUACGGGAUUCUUGGUUUUGUCUAUUUUGUGCUUUUAUUGAUGAUGUCUGGAUUCUCCCUUGAAUUGGCUCACAGUGGCCAGCAUUUGUGUUGAAUGUAAUUUGUUUGUAAUUGAGAUUUUAUCACCAGGCUUCAUCUUUAUGGGCCCCAUUGACACAGCACUGCUAUAUGUGUGCCUUGGACAGCUAAGAGACAAAGGCAGAUGUUCUCUGUCUAUGUACCCAAUCAGCACUUUCAAUACAGGGAAAAAUAAAUUCUUAAACUAAUAUUACUCA
ensembl:lncRNA